GAUGAACGCUGGCGGCGUGCCUAAUACAUGCAAGUCGAGCGAACGGACGAGAAGCUUGCUUCUCUGAUGUUAGCGGCGGACGGGUGAGUAACACGUGGAUAACCUACCUAUAAGUCGGGGAUAACUUCGGGAAACCGUAGCUAAUACCGGAUAAUAUUUUGAACCGCAUUGUUCAAAAGUGAAAGACGGUCUUUCUGUCACUUAUAGCUGGAUCCGCGCUGCAUUAGCUAGUUGGUAAGGUAACGGCUUACCAAGGCAACGAUGCAUAGCCGACCUGAGAGGGUGAUCGGCCACACGGGAACUGAGACACGGUCCAGACUCCUACGGGAGGCAGCAGUAGGGAAUCUUCCGCAAUGGGCGAAAGCCUGACGGAGCAACGCCGCGUGAGUGAUGAAGGUCUUCGGAUCGUAAAACUCUGUUAUUAGGGAAGAACAUAUGUGUAAGUAACUGUGCACAUCUUGACGGUACCUAAUCAGAAAGCCACGGCUAACUACGUG
rnacentral:rRNA from 1 species